rnacentral:rRNA from 1 species
GUCCUAGCUGUAAAACGGUGCAUGUUUGCUGUGAGAGGAAUCGACCCCUUUCGUGGCGUAGCUAACGCGUUAAACAUGCCGCCUGGGGGAGUACGGCCGCAAGGUUAAAACUCAAAGAAAUUGACGGGGGCCUGCACAAGCGGUGGAGUAUGUGGCUUAAUUCGAUGCAACGCGAAGAACCUUACCUGGCCUUGACAUGCAAGUGGUAGAAACCUGAAAGGGUGACGACCCCGCAAGGGGAGCUUGCACAGGUGCUGCAUGGCUGUCGU